rnacentral:rRNA from 1 species
GCUCAGAAACUUAAAGGAAUUGACGGGGACCCGCACAAGCAGCGGAGCAUGUGGUUUAAUUCGAAGCAACGCGAAGAACCUUACCAGAUCUUGACAUCCAAUUGACCAUCUUUUAAUCGAGAUUUUGCCUUCGGGUACAAUUGAGACAGGUGGUGCAUGGUUGUCGUCAGCUCGUGUCGUGAGAUGUUGGGUUAAGUCCCGCAACGAGCGCAACCCCUACCUUUAGUUGCCAUCAGGUAAUGCUGGGGACUCUAAAGGAACUGCCUACGCAAGUAGUGAGGAAGGCGGGGAUGACGUCAAAUCAGCACGGCCCUUACGUCCAGGGCUACACACGUGCUACAAUGGCCGAUACAGAGGGCAGCUACCUGGUGACAGGAUGCAAAUCUCCAAAGUCGGUCUCAGUUCGGAUCGGAGUCUGCAACCCGACUCCGUGAAGUUGGAUUCGCUAGUAAUCGCGCAUCAGCCAUGGCGCGGUGAAUACGUUCCCGGGCCUU